rnacentral:lncRNA from 1 species
UUUGAAGCACAGAACAAGUCUUCAUCAGACACAGAAUUUGCUGGCACCUGGAUUUUGGACUUUCCAGUCUUAUGAACUGAUUAGCUCAAAUUCUUCUUGGAAGGGCUUGCAAGGUUUGCAGGAGGGUGCACAGUCGAUCUGGGGAGAGAAGUAAACACAAGCAAUGAAGAUAGUGGAGUGGCCUGGACGGGAAGCUUCUUUUACAAAGGAAGGAUGACAAGAGCCCACAGUUCUUAUUGUGUAGGUAAAAUGAGCCAGGGGCCAUGCCAACCGCAUCACAUGGAUUAUCACCUUGGAUUUUAACAGUAAGCCAAAGUAACAGGAAGAGGCAAUGAGAAGCCAGAGAGAAAAAUCAUGGACAACAGCAUGGGCAAUGGAAUCCUGGGACCGAACGGCUCCUGACAAGAGGAACCGUUGAAUGGCUCUAAGAAGAGGAACAACAUGAUUUGACUUAGGUUUUUGAGGGAUCUCUCCAGCUACAGAUUGAAGAAUGAUUGUAAAGAGGGUGAGUGGAAACAGGAGGCCUGGUUCAUCCUCUCAACUCUCUAUUUGUGUCCAGUCAAAAUUCGCAAUGCCAACACAAUAGUUUCUAGUCCCAUGAUCCACUGAGAAAAACAUGGAUUCUUUAAAAGUAAGUGGCAAAGUACCCCUGAUUUUGAAACAUGUAUGGUCGUGAUAUCAAGAGUGACAACCUGGGCAAAAGAGAGCCAUUGCAAAGAAGAAAGGCCUUUAGGGAAAUGGAGCAGAAAGAGGAAGCAGUCAUCACACUUUAUAGAAACUUUGUCAUCUUUGAAGAGUCUGAAAGUCUCUGUUUACCCUGCUUCUCCAGCCUGAGUUCCUUUUUUUUCUCCAUUCUGCUUGUUGAACUCCUGCCAAACUCCGAUUUUGACAUCAAAGCCCACCUUGAAUGCUGCUUGUCGCUAAAGCCAUCGCUGGCAUUUCCAGACAUUGUCAAUAUCUACUGGACUAAAGAAAUUCUCUACUAAUCAGAAAAGGAAUUGGUCUGUAUUGAAGCUGGAAAGAAAAUCAGAGGAGCCAAUGCUGUCAGAGUGCAUCCAAGGACCAUUUAAAGAUGUCCUGGCCGGAGGUCUGGGCUGUCAGGUCCUGCCAGCAGAAUGAAGAGGACAUGGAGGCAUUUUCAGAUGAAGAGAAACUAACAGGAUUUUUCAGCAGACUUACUCUAAAUGAAUGGCUACAGGAAAUACUAUAAAAAUAAAGGAAAUGAUAAAAGAAGAAACUUUGUAACAUCAAGAAAGAAGG